AGGCUCUAGACCAAGAUAGAACAGCCCUUCAGAAAGUGAAGAAGUCUGUAAAAGCAAUAUAUAAUUCUGGUCAAGAUCAUGUACAAAAUGAAGAAAACUAUGCACAAGUUCUUGAUAAGUUUGGGAGUAAUUUUUUAAGUCGAGACAACCCCGACCUUGGCACCGCGUUUGUCAAGUUUUCUACUCUUACAAAGGAACUGUCCACACUGCUGAAAAAUCUGCUCCAGGGUCUGAGCCACAAUGUGAUCUUCACCUUGGAUUCUUUGUUAAAAGGAGACCUAAAGGGAGUCAAAGGAGAUCUCAAGAAGCCAUUUGACAAAGCCUGGAAAGAUUAUGAGACAAAGUUUACAAAAAUUGAGAAAGAGAAAAGAGAGCACGCAAAACAACAUGGGAUGAUCCGCACAGAGAUAACAGGAGCUGAGAUUGCAGAAGAAAUGGAGAAGGAAAGGCGCCUCUUUCAGCUCCAAAUGUGUGAAUAUCUCAUUAAAGUUAAUGAAAUCAAGACCAAAAAGGGUGUGGAUCUGCUGCAGAAUCUUAUAAAGUAUUACCAUGCACAGUGCAAGUGAGUAGAAUAUUGCAAGCAUUGUUGUUAGCCCAAUUAGUGCCCCCUGUACUUCAUUAUUUGUCUUAAUCCUCUUCAUAUCUUUUCUUCAUCUCGUGACUAAAUAAAGUGAUGACCUUUUUCAGCUAACUGGAUAAGAAA
rnacentral:sRNA from 1 species